CGGACUUUGUAACAAUAUGCAGAAAUCUUGAAAAAGGUUAUAAAUAUAUUGAAGAUGUCUAUAAAGAUGUUCAAUUCAUUUGGGACAACUGUUAUAAGUAUGGUAGUAAAGGUGACUAUGCAUUGGACCUCAUGAGCUGCAGCUGGUUUAUUCGCUGAACAAUCAAGAGGUUCGAGUGGUAUGCGUUUUAUGAUAGUGUUCUUUCCCAAUCAAAUCUUUUUUAUUUGUCUGCUAAGGCUCAUUUGGUAAACUUGCCUUUCCUUUUUUAUCAUUUUUACCAUUUUGACACUAAUAUAGCCUUUUAUUGGUUGGCACGCGGAAACAUUGCCACCACACAAAUACCAGGUCUUACUUAUCCUAGGUCUUUUUUUGUUGUUAUAAAUCAUAGCGUCAAAAAUGGAGGAAUAGCUAUUAUUUUAGGACUUGAUAACACUAUAAAAAAAUGAAUUUCAGUGCUUUAGGCAAUAUAUCAGUACUUUUUUUAUGAAAAUAUAUAAAUUUUAAUUUGUGACAUAAUUAUAUCCUCCAUUAGUUUUCCUUCAAAAUUAUCAUUAGCUUGCUUGCAUGGGUCUUAAGCAGGAGUUGUUGGGGCCAAACUAUGCCGAGAAAUAACUAAUGUGGCAGGGCAAUAUAUAUGGCAGCAAAUCGGAUGAAACAUUGCCAUAAGAUAUUUUUUAGUGCCAAAUCAUAUAUGCUAUCAGAGGAAAAGUUCACGAUUGCUACCACAAAGUAACCCUUCUUUCAUCCCAAAACAUCAUAAGUCAACCAUGAUUCAUUCUGAUCCUUUAUCAAUUGGUGCUGAAGGCCCUCAAGGGGAGUAGGACAUUGGAGCAUCAAGUCAAGGACAUGGUAAAAACGGUCAAUCGAAACAGAAGACAAAAAGGCGUGAUGGAAAGCGCCAUAACUUGAUUGCCUAUGCUCCGUGUGUGUUCUAAAGCGCCGUAGAAGAGAGCGUGAGGAGAAUGCUGGACUUGCUAGCAGUAA